rnacentral:ncRNA from 1 species
UCUUAUAGGUUUCCACCCGUAAAACAGGUGGACUAAGAGGGAAUCACGUGCAAAUCGUGAGCUGUCGCGCAACUGUAAUCCAGCGAUAUCAGAGGACAAUAUACCAUUGAACUUACCAGUUUGAGAAGGUCUCCCCUGAUGCUGCCAAGCCAGGAUACCUGCCUAUACGA